AACGAACGCUGGCGGCGUGCUUAACACAUGCAAGUCGAACGAGAACGGAUUAUAGCUUGCUAUAAUUGUCAGCUAAGUGGCGCACGGGUGAGUAAUGUAUAGGUAAUAUGCCUCUUACUAAGGGAUAACAAAUGGAAACGUUUGCUAAUACCUUAUACUCCUUAUUAACAGAAGUUAAUAAGGGAAAGAUUUAUUGGUAAGAGAUUAGCCUGUAUUGUAUCAGUUAGUUGGUGGGGUAAUGGCUUACCAAGACUAUGACACAUAACUGGCUUGAGAGGAUGAUCAGUCACACUGGAACUGAGACACGGUCCAGACUCCUACGGGAGGCAGCAGUGGGGAAUAUUGCACAAUGGACGAAAGUCUGAUGCAGCAACGCCGCGUGGAGGAUGACACAUUUCGGUGCGUAAACUCCUUUUAUAUGAGAAGAUAAUGACGGUAUUAUAUGAAUAAGCACCGGCUAACUCCGUGCCAGCCGCCGCUGUAA
rnacentral:rRNA from 1 species